rnacentral:rRNA from 1 species
GUGGGGAAUCUUAGACAAUGGGCGCAAGCCUGAUCUAGCCAUGCCGCGUGAGCGAUGAAGGCCUUAGGGUUGUAAAGCUCUUCCGUGGGGGAAGAUAAUGACUGUACCCCAAGAAGAAGCCCCGGCUAACUCCGUGCCAGCAGCCGCGGUAAUACGGAGGGGGCUAGCGUUGUUCGGAAUUACUGGGCGUAAAGCGCACGUAGGCGGACUGGAAAGUCAGGGGUGAAAUCCCGGGGCUCAACCCCGGAACUGCCUUUGAAACUCCCAGUCUUGAGUUCGAGAGAGGUGAGUGGAAUUCCGAGUGUAGAGGUGAAAUUCGUAGAUAUUCGGAGGAACACCAGUGGCGAAGGCGGCUCACUGGCUCGAUACUGACGCUGAGGUGCGAAAGCGUGGGGAGCAAACAGGAUUAGAAACCCGAGUAGUCC